UGAACAGAUUAUUGUAUUCGACUGUAUUCACGACGUGAAAUAGGGAAUUACAUUAUUUUUAAAACGAAAAGUGAAUCGAUUAACAUAAUAGACUCCC
rnacentral:pre_miRNA from 1 species